rnacentral:rRNA from 1 species
CCUACGGGUGGCAGCAGUGAGGAAUAUUGGUCAAUGGACGAGAGUCUGAACCAACCAAGUAGCGUGAAGGAUGACUGCCCUAUGGGUUGUAAACUUCUUUUAUAUGGGAAUAAAAUGUUCCACGUGUGGGAUUUUGUAUGUACCAUAUGAAUAAGGAUCGGCUAACUCCGUGCCAGCAGCCGCGGUAAUACGGAGGAUCCGAGCGUUAUCCGGAUUUAUUGGGUUUAAAGGGAGCGUAGGUUGAUUGUUAAGUCAGUUGUGAAAGUUUGCGGCUCAACCGUAAAAUUGCAGUUGAAACUGGCAGUCUUGAGUACAGUAGAGGUGGGCGGAAUUCGUGGUGUAGCGGUGAAAUGCUUAGAUAUCACGAAGAACUCCGAUUGCGAAGGCAGUUCACUGGACUGCAACUGACACUGAGGCUCGAAAGUGUGGGUAUCAAACAGGAUUAGAUACCCUUGUAGUC